rnacentral:ncRNA from 1 species
UACCUGGUUGAUCCUGCCAGUAGUCAUAUGCUUGUCUCAAAGAUUAAGCCAUGCAAGUCUAAGUACGAGCUCUCGUACAGUGAAACUGCGAAUGGCUCAUUAAAUCAGUUAUGGUUCAUUUGAUCGUACAGUUUACUUGGAUAACUGUGGUAAUUCUAGAGCUAAUACAUGCGAGAAGCGCCGACCUCGCGGGAGGCGUGCAUUUAUCAGACCAAAAACCGGCCGCGUCUUCGGGCGCGUUCGCCUUGGUGACUCUGGAUAACUUUGCGGAUCGCACGGUCUAGCACCGGCGACGGAUCAUUCAAGUGUCUGCCCUAUCAACUUUCGUCGGUACGGUAUUUGCCUACCGAGGUUCUUACGGGUGACGGGGAAUCAGGGUUCGAUUCCGGAGAGGGAGCCUGAGAAACGGCUACCACAUCCAAGGAAGGCAGCAGGCGCGCAAAUUACCCAUUCCCGACGCGGGGAGGUAGUGACGAAAAAUAACAAUGCAGGACUCGUUCGAGGCCCUGUAAUUGGAAUGAGUACACUUUAAAAGCUUUAACGAGUAUCCAUUGGAGGGCAAGUCUGGUGCCAGCAGCCGCGGUAAUUCCAGCUCCAAAAGUAUAU